rnacentral:rRNA from 1 species
UGGGGAAUAUUGCACAAUGGGCGCAAGCCUGAUGCAGCAACGCCGCGUGAACGAUGAAGGUCUUCGGAUCGUAAAGUUCUGUUGCAGGGGAAGAUAAUGACGGUAUCAUAGGAGGAAGCCCUGGCUAAAUACGUGCCAGCAGCCGCGGUAAUACGUAUGGGGCGAGCGUUGUCCGGAAUUAUUGGGCGUAAAGGGUACGUAGGCGGUUUUUUAAGUCAGGUGUCAAAGCGUGGAGCUUAACUCCAUUAAGCACUUGAAACUGAAAGACUUGAGUGAAGGAGAGGAAAGUGGAAUUCCUAGUGUAGCGGUGAAAUGCGUAGAUAUUAGGAGGAAUACCGGUGGCGAAGGCGACUUUCUGGACUUUUACUGACGCUCAGGUACGAAAGCGUGGGGAGCAAACAGG